UACGGGGGGGGUAAGCGUUGUUCGGAAUUACUGGGCGUAAAGGGCUCGUAGGCGGCCAACUAAGUCGGACGUGAAAUCCCUCAGCUUAACUGGGGAACUGCGUCCGAUACUGGAUGGCUUGGAUUUGGGAGAGGGAUGCGGAAUUCCAGGUGUAGCGGUGAAAUGCGUAGAUAUCUGGAGGAACACCGGUGGCGAAGGCGGCAUCCUGGACCGACAUUGACGCUGAUGAGCGAAAGCUAGGGGAGCAAACGGG
rnacentral:rRNA from 1 species